UGUUUGAUGUUCUAACGUUGGCCCCUGAUCGGGGUUGCGGACAGUGUCUGGUGGGUAGUUUGACUGGGGCGGUCUCCUCCUAAAGAGUAACGGAGGAGCACGAAGGUUGGCUAAUCCUGGUCGGACAUCAGGAGGUUAGUGCAAUGGCAUAAGCCAGCUUGACUGCGAGCGUGACGGCGCGAGCAGGUGCGAAAGCAGGUCAUAGUGAUCCGGUGGUUCUGAAUGGAAGGGCCAUCGCUCAACGGAUAAAAGGUACUCCGGGGAUAACAGGCUGAUACCGCCCAAGAGUUCAUAUCGACGGCGGUGUUUGGCACCUCGAUGUCGGCUCAUCACAUCCUGGGGCUGAAGUAGGUCCCAAGGGUAUGGCUGUUCGCCAUUUAAAGUGGUACGCGAGCUGGGUUUAGAACGUCGUGAGACAGUUCGGUCCCUAUCUGCCGUGGGCGCUGGAGAACUGAGGGGGGCUGCUCCUAGUACGAGAGGACCGGAGUGGACGCAUCACUGGUGUUCGGGUUGUCAUGCCAAUGGCACUGCCCGGUAGCUAAAUGCGGAAGAGAUAAGUGCUGAAAGCAUCUAAGCACGAAACUUGCCCCGAGAUGAGUUCUCCCUGAGACUUU
rnacentral:rRNA from 1 species